rnacentral:misc_RNA from 1 species
GAUGAAGAACGUAGCGAAAUGCGAUAAGUAAUGUGAAUUGCAGAAUCCAGUGAAUCAUCGAAUCUUUGAACGCACAUUGCGCCCGCCAGCAUUCUGGCGGGCAUGCCUGUCCGAGCGUCAUUUCAACCCUCAAGCACUGCUUGGCGUUGGGGCGCUACGCGCUGAGCGUAGGCCCCUAAAAUCAGUGGCGGACCCGCUGUGGCUCCGGGCGUAGUAGCAACACCUCGCCUGGGACCGCGGCGCGUUCCGGCCGUUAAACCCCCCACUAUAUCGAAGGUUGACCUCGGAUCAGGUAGGAAUACCCGCUGAACUUAAGCAUAUCAAUAAGCGGAGGA